AUUAAAAGCUAUAUCAACUGCAAAACAACAAACGUUAUUUAUGCCAUUAAGUGCCCCUGCAACAAAAUCUAUGUUGGACAAACAAGUCAGCAACUUAAGAAACGUAUUCAGAAACACCUGUCAACAAUCUCAUUGGCCAAACGUGAUAGUGGCCUUCACAGAAAUUUAACCUCAGUGGCUGAUCAUUUCUUAAGGGUCCAUUCGGGAAACCCAAGGGGUCUAAAAAUCUUCGGAUUGGAGAAGAUCAUGACUAAUAUCCGUGGUGGACCUAUGACGAAUAGAUUACUUCAAGUUGAAUCCAGAUGGAUCCAUAAUCUAGGAUCAGAAGCCCCAUAUGGCUUGAAUGAAGAGCUGCAAUUUACGGGAUUUCUUGGUAUCACAGAUUUGUCAAGCAACAUCAUUAUUAUCUUUUUACACUUCUACUUUUGAAACACAGGAAGCACAAUGGAGAUAUUUGGAACACCUCAUGAUAUCUCUUCUGGAAGCAGAAAACGACAGAUAUCUAUGGUGAUGAGAACACAUGCCGUGGUGAUAUAUUUUUCUACCCUAGAACUGAGAGAGAAACUUUCUAAUGUGGACAAAUCUCCUUUGGUAAAUGGACGGACACAUGAGCUAUUUGGCCACUGAGCCACCCCCUGACAGGCAAUGGGCUGGGACAAGCCUGAGAAAUUACA